rnacentral:rRNA from 1 species
UACGUAGGUGGCAAGCGUUGUCCGGAUUUACUGGGCGUAAAGAGCGCGCAGGCGGUCGUUCAAGUCGCGUGUGAAAGCCCCCGGCUCAACUGGGGAGGGUCACGCGAUACUGAUCGACUGGAAGGCAGGAGAGGGAUGCGGAAUUCCAGGUGUAGCGGUGAAAUGCGUAGAUAUCUGGAGGAACACCGGUGGCGAAGGCGGCAUCCUGGACCGACACUGACACUGAGGAGCGAAAGCCAGGGGAGCAAACGGG